rnacentral:lncRNA from 1 species
CUCUACUCCCUGUGUGGCGUAUGAGUCUCGACCCCAGCAUGCUGGCCUGAGCUCUCGUUUCAUCUCGCUUACAAUAAAUCUUCCUCGUGUGAUUACAGCAGGUCGGUGUCUGUGUCCUACUGGGUGCGCGUCUUUCCCGAGACUUGAGUGGGGGGACUCCCUUCGGGGGUCUUUCAUUUGGGGGCUCGUCCGGGAUCUGCGCGACCACCCAGGGGUCCUAGACCCACUUGGAGGUAAGAUUCUCUGUUUUAUCUCAGCGCUGUGUCUGGGUCUGUGUCUAUGUUCUGUCUGGGAAUCUGGUGCGAUCGCUGUUUCGGUUUUGCGGACGCUCAGUGAGACCGCGCUCCAGGAAGGAGAGCGGGGUGGAUAGGGAUAGACGUGUCCAGGUACCCACCGUCCGUUCGCCCUGGGAGACGUCCCAGGAGGACACAAGGGGGGACCAGGGACGCCUGGUGAACCCCAUCUGAUAGGUCCAGAGGAGACUUUACUCCUUGACGACCGGUUUGUUAGGCAAGGUCUGCGACCUGCCGAUCAGUUUCAGUGCCUCUGGUCGACACGAAGUCGACGUCGGUUUUGUUUUCUUUUUUCUCU